rnacentral:rRNA from 1 species
AGAGUUUGAUCCUGGCUCGAGAGCGAACGGCUGGCGGCAUGCUUAACACAUGCAAGUCGCGCGGUCAGUAAUGGCAGCGCGGACGGUGAGUAACGCGUAGGAACGUGUCUAGAGGUGGGGGACAACCCUGGGAAACUGGGGCUAAUACCGCAUAUGGGCUGAGGCCCAAAGCAGUGAUGCGCCUUUGGAGCGGCCUGCGUCCGAUUAGGUAGUUGGUGGGGUAAAGGCCUACCAAGCCUGCGAUCGGUAGCUGGUCUGAGAGGACGAUCAGCCACACUGGGACUGAGACACGGCCCAGACUCCUACGGGAGGCAGCAGUGGGGAAUAUUGGACAAUGGGCGCAAGCCUGAUCCAGCAAUGCCGCGUGUGUGAAGAAGGUCUUCGGAUCGUAAAGCACUUUCGACAGGGACGAUGAUGACGGUACCUGUAGAAGAAGCCCCGGCUAACUUCGUG